rnacentral:rRNA from 1 species
GGAUCCAGACUUUGAUCGUGGCUCAGGAUGAACGCUCGCGGCAGGCCUAACACAUGCAAGUCGAACGGUAACAGGAAAAAGCUUGCUUUUUUGCUGACGAGUGGCGCACGGGUGCGUAACGCGUAUACAAUCUACCUCUUACUGGGGAAUAGCCUUUGGAAGCGAAGAAUAAUACCCCAUGGCUAUCUAAAUUUCGCAUGAUAAUUAGAUUAAAGUUUCGACGGUAAGAGAUGAGUAUGCGUUCUAUUAGCUAGAUGGUGUGGUAACGGCACACCAUGGCAACGAUAGAUAGGGGCCCUGAGAGGGGGAUCCCCCACACUGGUACUGAGACACGGACCAGACUCCUACGGGAGGCAGCAGUGAGGAAUAUUGGACAAUGGGCGAAAGCCUGAUCCAGCCAUGCCGCGUGCAGGAAGACUGCCCUAUGGGUUGUAAACUGCUUUUAUACGGGAAGAAACCCAUCUACGUGUAGAUGGCUGACGGUACCGNAAGAAUAAGCAUCGGNUAACUCCGUGCCAGCAGCCGCGGUAAUACGGAGGAUGCAAGCGUUAUCCGGAAUCAUUGGGUUUAAANGGUCCGUAGGUGGAUUAGUAAGUCAGAGGGGAAAGCCUGCAGCUCACUGUAGAACUGCCUUUGAUACUGCUAGUCUUGAAUUAUUNUNCCCNGGUUAGAAUAUGUAGUGUAGCGGUGAAAUGCAUAGAUAUUACAUAGAAUACCAAUUGCGAAGGCAGAUCACUAACAAUAUAUUGACACUGAUGGACGAAAGCGUGGGGAGCGAACGGGAUUAGAUACCCCGGUAGUCCACGCCGUAAACGAUGGUCACUAGCUGUUCGGAUUUCGGUCUGAGUGGCUAAGCGAAAGUGAUANGUGACCCACCUGGGGAGUACGUUCGCAAGAAUGAAACUCAAAGGAAUUGACGGGGGCCCGCACAAGCGGUGGAGCAUGUGGUUUAAUUCGAUGAUACGCGAGGAACCUUACCAGGGCUUAAAUGUAGAUUGCAUUAGCUAGAGAUAGCUAUUUCUUCGGACUAUCUACAAGGUGCUGCAUGG